rnacentral:rRNA from 1 species
AUACGGAGGAUCCGAGCGUUAUCCGGAUUUAUUGGUUUUAAAGGGUGCGCAGGCGGCCAUUUAAGUCAGCGGUUAAAUCGUGGGGCUCAACCCCAUUCUGCCGUUGAUACUGGGUGGCUUGAUUGCGGUCGAGGUUGGCGGAAUUCGUUGUGUAGCGGUGAAAUGCAUAGAUAUGACGAAGAACACCGAUUGCGUAGGCAGCUGACCAGACCGCAAAUGACGCUCAUGCACGAAAGUGCGGGGAUCGAACAGGAUUAGAUACCCUGGUAGUCCGCACAGUAAACGAUGAAUACUUGUUUUCGGCGAUAUAAUGUCGGAGGCAAAGCGAAAGCGAUAAGUAUUCCACCUGGGGAGUACGCCGGCAACGGUGAAACUCAAAGGAAUUGACGGGG